UUAAAUUAUGAUGAAACUAGGGAAUACAAUCCCGGCCUUUAUUUGGGAUCCCGGGAUUUCGGGACUGGAUGAAGACAAUCCCGGGAUCCCGGGAUAGUCCCGGGAUCAGGGUCACAAACAAAAACACGUCUAACGAAUCAAAGUUUUUAGGUUUAUUGGAGACACAGUUUUUAUAAUUUAACUUUGUCAGACCAUACUUCGGUGAACAAAAAAUAUACUCCUUAAAAAAACAUAAAGCAUUACUUAAAAUAGGGAAUAUACAAGCGAUUCAAAUAAAGGUAAAAUAUUAUUUUUAAUAAACUUCGUUAUUUCAAAAUUAUGCUUCCAUUAAUAUUUUUGAUUAUAUCAUUUAUUUUUGACCGAGUAAAUAAUUGUUGAAAAGUACAAAAAAACUUUCGUAAUUCAACGUAAAUCUAUUGAAUAAGAAUAAAAAAAAUGCAUAUUCCCUAUUAUACAUUUUGUUAAUCAUCUUACACAAAAGGUAUCACAAUUAUCUUAAAAUAAAGAUAGGAACUUCUACGUUUGGUAAUAUUUGCAAUUCCAACCUCUUUAUACCUGGUUAUGUAUAUAUAUCUAGUUUUUUUAUACAAUGUGUUUUUUUUCGAACCCGACGAACUUUAAGGGUGUAUUUU